CAACACUAGUCAUGAAUUAAUAAUGUCCUAGCAACCAAAGGGAUUCAAAUUCUUUAAGAAGCCAUUUGUCAUUCUAGAAUCCUCUUUGCUCAGCUUGCUUUCCUCACUUGCUCAGAGUUAUAGAACCUUGGAGAUUAGAAAUAAUAGAUGAAACAACUUCUCCCUCUCAUAGGCACCCCUGGAAGACUCCCAGGAAAGCAGGAAUUACAGAAGGGAUCCACGCCUGGGAAAGUCUUCAGAUAACUGAAGAUGAUGACAAGUGACCCCAGGAACUUCUCUUCUGGAGAUUAUACCAGGCUCCAAACUGAGGUGGCUUUUGCAUCAGUUCAUACUAAUUAAGGAUCCAGUACAGGCAAGACCCUUUUGUACAUACUCAUUUCAUUUUCAGGGCACAUCUGAAAGGUAGGCAUUCUUUCCAUUGUAGGGUAAGGAACCUGAAGCUAGGUGAGGCAAAGUGAGCUGUCUGAACGUAUACGGUAAAGAGGUGGCAAACGUGCGAUUCAUACACUGGUCUGCCUGACACUAACCCAGGUUCUGGUUCCACAAAACCGGAAAUAGACUUUUUCAAUGGUGAGUCUGAUUUGCCCUCUGACUCUGACCUUAACUCUUGCAUUAUGAAGGAGACUGAGGCCCAUGACUGCAUUACAUAACAACUGGGGCCUUAUGCUACCCACACAAGGCCUGUUCAGCAAGAUCAGGCACCAGCUG
rnacentral:lncRNA from 1 species